AGGAACAGUUGGGCAGACAUCACCCUACAGCAUUUUCAGGAGCGUUUAUAAUCUGUUGAAUAUGGCAGAAAUGACACCUUGUAUAAAUGUGGUCCUGCUUGGAAAAACAGGAUCUGGAAAAAGUUCAUCAGGAAACACAAUCCUGGGUCGACAAGCUUUCAUCUCAAAGCGAAGAUCCGUAUCAGUCACACGAGACGUUGCUGUGGAGUCUGGAUCAUUCUGUGAACUACCAGUCACUGUUUAUGACACACCAGGUUUAUUAAAUACAAAUAUGAGUGAAGAAGAGAUUCAGCAGAUGAUCAAUAAGAAGGUCCUCCAGAAAUGUUCAUCAGGUCUGUGUGUGUUUCUGCUGGUCAUCAAAGCUGACAGAUUCACUGAAGAAGAGAGAAAGACUGUGGAGAUGAUUGAGAAGAUCCUGGGAGAAAACAACCAGAAAGACAUCUGGAUUCUUUUCACCAGAGGAGACGAACUGGAGGAAGAAAACACGACAAUCCAGGAGUUCAUAGAGGAGACUGAAGAACUGAAGA
ensembl:processed_transcript